rnacentral:tRNA from 1 species
GAAGAGGUGGCUGAGAGGCUUAAAGCAUUGGAUUGCUAAUUCAACACACAUUCUUGUGUCAUGGGUUCGAAUCCCAUUCUCUUCG